CUGAGGAAAGGAUCAUGUACGCCUGCGCGCAGCCUCUUAUGGGGCCGCGCCGACCAAUCGAUGUCCUACUUGAGACGGAAGAGAAGCCAGUGAGUACACCAGGUCCCUGGAGCUAGAGGUAUGCACAGCUGUGAUCGUUGUAAACUGUCACGUGGGUGCCACCAAGUAAACCCAGGUCAUCUGGAAGAGCAACAGGUUGGUGGCGCUGGAGACUUAACUCGGUCACCUCAUACACGGGAGGCCAGCUACAUCCCAAGGGACCAUUUCAGACUAUAGUUGGAAAGUGAUAGAAGUCCCUCCUAUACUCAGAAGGGACAUGUUUCUAACAGUCAAGUGUCUUAGGGACCAGCAAAAUCCAUCCCUCCAAAUCUCAACAGGAUUUCUUAGUCAUCAUGAUUUCUUUUCUCUGACCUCUCUCAUUUGGAUUUCUGAGCCAAGACAAGGCUAGUAUACUAGUCACAUGCUAAGAUAUCAGAUCCCAACUCUACUCCCAAUGGCUAAAGUGUUGUUUAUCUUGGAACACUGAGACUUCCUAAUUCCAUUAUGGCUAUCAGAUAUCUUUUUUUUUUUUUUAAGAUUUACUUAUUUUAUACAUAUGAGUACACUACCAUUGCUCUCUUCAGACACAGCAGAAAAGGGCACCAGACCUUAUUACAGAUGAUUGUGAGCUACCAUUCGGUUGCUGAGAACUGAACUCAGGACCCCUGGAAGAACAGUUGGUGAUUUUAACCGCUGAGCCAUCUCUCCAGCCCCAUCAUGGCUAUCAGAUCAUUUAGCUAGAUAGGAUGAUACACACCUGAAAUUCCACUCCUCAAAAGGCUGAGGCAGGAAGACCAACAAGUCUGGACUACCAACCCCCCCCCCCCAAAAAAAAAAACACCCAAAAAACCAAUAAACCAAGCAAGCAAUCAACCAAGCUAACUUAGGCAGGCUGGCAAGGCAGCUGAGCCACUAUAAGUGCUCGCUGCCAAGCCUGAAGCCCUGAGCCCCAGGACCCAGAGUGAGAAUUCUUUCAUGGCACCUUCUGAACUUCAUGCACAUCCUGAAGCACGAAUGCACACAAAUAAAAUGUUAAUUUUUUAAAAGGUAGGAGAUAUAAA